UACAGAGGUCCCAAGCGUUGUUCGGAUUCAUUGGGCGUAAAGGGUGCGUAGGCGGCGCGGUAAGUCGGGUGUGAAAUCUCGGAGCUUAACUCCGAAACUGCAUUCGAUACUGCCGUGCUUGAGGACUGGAGAGGAGACUGGAAUUUACGGUGUAGCGGUGAAAUGCGUAGAUAUCGUAAGGGAAGACCAGUGGCGAAGGCGGGUCUCUGGACAGUUCCUGACGCUGAGGCACGAAGGCCAGGGGAGCAAACGGG
rnacentral:rRNA from 1 species